rnacentral:rRNA from 1 species
CCUACGGGCGGCAGCAGUGAGGAAUAUUGGUCAAUGGGCGCAAGCCUGAACCAGCCAAGUCGCGUGAGGGAUGACGGUCCUAUGGAUUGUAAACCUCUUUUGUCGGGGAGCAAGGCCCGCCACGUGUGGCGGGAAGGAGAGUACCCGAAGAAAAAGCAUCGGCUAACUCCGUGCCAGCAGCCGCGGUAAUACGGAGGAUGCGAGCGUUAUCCGGCUUUAUUGGGUUUAAAGGGUGCGUAGGCGGAAGGUUAAGUCAGCGGUAAAAUGUCGGUGCUCAACACCGGCCUGCCGUUGAAACUGGUCUUCUUGAGUGAGCGAGAAGUAUGCGGAAUGCGUGGUGUAGCGGUGAAAUGCGUAGAUAUCAGGAGGAACACCGGCGGCGAAGGCGGCCUGCUGGACUGAAACUGACGUUGAGGCUCGAAAGCGUGGGGAGCAAACAGGAUUAGAUACCCGAGUAGUC